rnacentral:rRNA from 1 species
GAUGAACGCUGGCGGCGUGCUUAACACAUGCAAGUCGAACGAUGAAGCCCAGCUUGCUGGGUGGAUUAGUGGCGAACGGGUGAGUAACACGUGAGUAACCUGCCCUUAACUCUGGGAUAAGCCUGGGAAACUGGGUCUAAUACCGGAUAGGAGCGUCCACCGCAUGGUGGGUGUUGGAAAGAUUUAUCGGUUUUGGAUGGACUCGGGGCCUAUCAGCUUGUUGGUGAGGUAAUGGCUCACCAAGGCGACGACGGGUAGCCGGCCUGAGAGGGUGACCGGCCACAGUGGGAUUGGGGAGGGGCCAGGGGGCCUCAGGGGGGAAGGGGGGGGGAAUUUUGCCAACGGGGCGGAGGCUGGAAGCAGGGUCGCCGGGGGGGGAAGCACGGCCUUCGGGGUGGAAACCCUUUUCAGUAGGAAAGAAGGGAAAGGGAGGGACCCUCAGAAAAAAGACCGGGUAACUUAGGG